GGAACAUUGGGCUCGGUGGUAAGGUGUCGGUCUCGUAAACCGAAGAUCGCGGGUUCGAACCCCGUCUGCGCCU
rnacentral:tRNA from 1 species